rnacentral:lncRNA from 1 species
GUUUAAGAAGGAUGUGGAGCAGAAGCAUUUGGACUACAGCCUGGAGAGGAAAUUGCUGAAGAGGAUCUUGGAAUUUGAUCAUUUAUUGGACCUUUUAGGUAACCAGAGGGAAAGUCAUGUCUGAAGACGGAAUACAAGCAUCCUUAGCUCUAUGUGCUGCAGCUUAUCACUUCCUAUACCCACUUUCUGUCAUGACCCCUGACCUUUUGAUCAACUGUAUGGCUGGAUCUGAGGCUGCC